CUGAGGCACUCAGGUGCCAGCGGCCGGAGCCGGCCAAGGAUGCCGUGCGCAGCCCCAGGACAUGAGGAGAUGAUGCUUGUGUGGAAUUAUGUUGCGAAGAAAGUGGCUGAAGCAACUGAACACCUCUUGUCCUCUUGUGAAAUGCAUAUUUUCUACUGAAGGGGCUGAUCCUACACACUGGUCUCCAUUACAGCUUCCCAGGGACCCAACCAGAAAAGUAAAGAUUAAUACCACCAUGCAACUUGGAGUUGGCAGUACUGAGAAGGAAAAGAAGGGAUGGGGCCGUGUAAGGGAAUGACCCAUGCUUCAGUACCACCACCAUCUUCUUCUGAGGUCCUGAAAAUAUGGCACAGUCUCACCAAGAGGAGGUUGGAAUUCUUCAGUCCUUCAUAAAUCAACAGGAAAGCGGGCACUAGAGGCACAGCUGAACUGCUGAUAAAUUACCAGGGACAACAUUUGCAUUAGGCUAUGCAAGAUGUGUUUAAUGGAGUGCUCUGAAGAAGCGAGGACCUGCUGGAGGGGUAAUGAGAUGUUACAUCUGGGGACAGCGAGAAGCAGAGAAAAAAAAGGGAAAGUAAUUAUCCAAGGUGUCAAAGUAAAAAUGAGCCUCAGUGAAAUAAAUCAGGGGUCUAAAGAGAUUAUUUGUGAAAGAAACAAAACCAACAAAUGAAAACAAAACUUUGAAUGUUGUGUGCAUUUUUGGUGGGCGGGAUUUGGAGGAGGAGGCUCCCAAGACUAGUGAGAGAAUGAAAUUUGAAUGGUGACUGUCAGGAACGAUGUGGAAAAAGUUGAUAGCAAAGAACUUCUGGGCAUGAGGGUAGAUCCUAAAAUGACGUAUUUUAGGAAUGAAGGACAUGAAGAAAAAUAAUGGCACAAGAGAAGCGUGGAGAAAGCCCAUGACUUUGAAGUUGGGGCUCAUCUCUCCAGUUAUCCAGGUGGGGCGUCUGAAAGUGACACUA